GAGGGGAGGGAGUUUGAAUAAACAUCUUAUUUACAUUAAGAAGAUACUUAGAGUACUCCCUAA
rnacentral:tRNA from 1 species